rnacentral:tRNA from 1 species
GCUGAGGUGGCUCAGUGGUAGAGCACUUGUCUUGCAUGCACAAGGCCCUGGGUUCUAUUCCUCAGCA